rnacentral:rRNA from 1 species
AUUGAACGCUGGCGGCAGGCUUAACACAUGCAAGUCGAGCGGGGGAAGGUAGCUUGCUACCGGACCUAGCGGCGGACGGGUGAGUAAUGCUUAGGAAUCUGCCUAUUAGUGGGGGACAACAUCUCGAAAGGGAUGCUAAUACCGCAUACGUCCUACGGGAGAAAGCAGGGGAUCUUCGGACCUUGCGCUAAUAGAUGAGCCUAAGUCGGAUUAGCUAGUUGGUGGGGUAAAGGCCUACCAAGGCGACGAUCUGUAGCGGGUCUGAGAGGAUGAUCCGCCACACUGGGACUGAGACACGGCCCAGACUCCUCCGGGAGGCAGCAGUGGGGAAUGUUGGACAAUGGGGGGAACCCUGAUCCAGCCAUGCCGCGUGUGUGAAGAAGGCCUUAUGGUUGUAAAGCACUUUAAGCGAGGAGGAGGCUACUCUAGUUAAUACCUAGGGAUAGUGGGCGUUACUCGCAGAAUAAGCACUGGCUAACUCUGUGCCAGCCGCCGCCGUAA